rnacentral:rRNA from 1 species
CUUGGUCAUUUAGAGGAAGUAAAAGUCGUAACAAGGUCUCCGUUGGUGAACCAGCGGAGGGAUCAUUACAGAGUUGCAAAGCUCCUGAACCCCUGUGAACUUACCUAUUAUCGUUGCUUCGGCGGGUGACUUUAGGCGGAUCCGCCUGCUUCUGUUCGCAGAAGCACCCGUCAGAAUCCCAUAAAACCCAGUGCUUUAGUGGCAUGUAUGACCAAAAGAAAAUUAAUGAGUCAAAACUUUCAACAACGGAUCUCUUGGUUCUGGCAUCGAUGAAGAACGCAGCGAAAUGCGAUAUGUAAUGUGAAUUGCAGACUUCAGUGAAUCAUCGAAUCUUUGAACGCACAUUGCGCCCGCUAGUAAUCUGAUGGGCAUGCCUGUUCGAGCGUCAUUUCAGACCUCAAGCCCUGCUUGGUGUUGGGUUUCUACGGCUCCUGUAGGCUCCAAAAACCAGUGGCGGGCUCGCUAUAAGUCCGAGCGCAGUACAUGUAUCUCGCUUGGGAAGUGUAGCGGGCUCCAGCUGCAGUCCCCCUCAAUUUACACCACAAGGUUGACCUCGGAUCAGGUAGGAAUACCCGCUGAACUUAAGCAUAUCAAUAAGCGGAGGA